rnacentral:lncRNA from 1 species
GUCGGAGCCAGGUGAUGCCCAAGACAAUGGCGAAGUUCGGUGAAGGUAUGAUGUCAAAUUCGAUGGACUCCUGGUGAUUCUGCUGCAUACACACCAGGCGUUCGGUGUAGAGCCAGACAGGUUGCUCGCCCACCAGCGAGCCAUCCAUGGUUUGGAUCACAUCUGGGUAGGGCUUCUCAUAGAGCUCGACGUAGUGCUCUUGGGCAAACUUCUCAUCCAUGAAGUUGCCUACCGAUCCUGAGUCGACCAGAGCUUGGACGGCGACGCUGUGGUAGGGGUUCACCCUCACCAGGAGCAGCACGAAGAGAUGGGCGCGAUUGAUGCCCGGAUGGAAUGAAUAGGGCAGCCAGCUGCUCACUGUCCACCUCUCCGGAGCAGGUGAGUCAAUCCAGGACAUGGUACGUGGGCGGGCCUCUGGGGGCAGCCUGAGCAUCGCCCUUCUCUCUUCCAGCCUGUCUUCUAUUUGCAGGAUGAGCACGAUCAGAUUGUCCAGGGAGUUCGGCUGAGGGAUCCGGAACAGACAGUGCCUGAUGUCCUCACUGAGCCCCUGGCACAGGUGGGCCUGCAGGACUUCAUCUGGCCAGCCCAAGUACAGCGAGAUGAUGGACCUGAUGGUGUCCCUGACGUCGUCACCAGACUCGUCACUCUCGGUGGUGUCAUCUUCAAAACUCGACCCUUCAGAUGCCAGGUUAGUGUCGUCAUCAUCAUCAUCUUCGUAUUCCUCAGAGCUUGCCGGGAUAACUGAUGUUUCUUCCGUUUCAUCAGAUGAUUCAGGGAGUGGAUCCUCCGUUGCCUGGUCAGAACCAUAGCAUGACUCCUCCAUGUC